GAUGAACGCUGGCGGCGUGCCUAAUACAUGCAAGUCGAGCGAACAGACGAGGAGCUUGCUCCUUCGACGUUAGCGGCGGACGGGUGAGUAACACGUAGGUAACCUACCUAUAAGACUGGGAUAACUUCGGGAAACCGGAGCUAAUACCGGAUAAUAUUUCGAACCGCAUGGUUCGAUAGUGAAAGAUGGCUUUGCUAUUGCUUAAAGAUGGACCUGCGCCGUAUUCGCUAGUUGGUAAGGUAACGGCUUACCAAGGCAGCGAUACGUAGCCGACACGAGAGGGUGAUUGGACAGACUGGAUGUGAGAAACAGUCGAGACUCCUACGCGAGGAAGCAGCAGGGAAUCUUCCGCGAUGCGCGAAUGCGUAACGUAGCAACGCGGCGUGAGGGAUGAAGGAGUUCGGCUCGUAAAAUUAUGUUAGUAGGGAGGAACAAAAGUGUAAGUAACUGUGAAGAUCAUGACGGUACCUAAUCAGAAAGCCACGGCUAACUCCGUG
rnacentral:rRNA from 1 species